GUUGCCAGACCGUACCAAAAAGUACGGUUUUCCGUACUAUUCAUCACACAACCGUACCACAACCGUACCUCAGUGUAGACCGUACCUUUUUCGUACCUUUUCUAUAUUAGUGAUUUAUUUUUUACUGCAAACUACAAAGGGAGCGAUGAAUUAAAAAAAAAAACAGAGCAAACAGAAUAUAGUCUGCGGGACUAUCGCCGUUCGCCGAUGUCUAUAGUCAGUCUGGAACCGAGAUCGAACUAAAGAUAACUCAUUCUCACAAGUAUGUACGACGUGUGACGAAACAAUACGAAUCUAUAGACGGAAGAAAAGUUAAGUCAAGGUGUUGGGAAAUGGACAGAUUUAUAACGAAGCGAAAACGUGACCCUCCUGAUAAUAAUAGCUCUCAAAAUAGUAACCAGCCUACUAAACCUGGUCAUUCAACUAAGAAGAAAUGUUUAAGUCCUAGUAUCCCUGGCCCUUCAUGUACUGAUGCACUAAUAAUAAUAAAACCUACCCAGCCACAAGAAUCAAAUCCUUCCAACGACUUCAGUUUGCUAGACGAAUCAAAUCUAUCUAACAAAAAAAAACCACAAGCCUUACUUGAUACUUGUAACGAAAAUGAAGAAAUCCAGAUAGCAACAAGUAAUGAAGAGCAUAAA